UACUGGCAGGAUCAACCAGCUCUUCGACUAGCUUCAGGGUGCUCAGUACUUUUUGAAAGUGGAUAUGUGGUCUGGAUAUCAUCAGCUUCGAGUCAGAGAGAAGGAUAUGCAGAAGACGGCAUUUCGUACUCGCUACGAGCACUAUGAGUUUCUUGUGAUGCCAUUCGGAUUGACGAAUGCGCCAGCAGUGUUCAUGGCUUUGAUGAAUGAGAUCUUCGCUCAGCGCCUCGAUAGCUUCACAGUUGUAUUCAUUGAUGACGUAUUGGUCUACUUGAAGUCCAGAGAGGAGCACGAGCAGUUUUUGAGGACAUCGCUACAGUUGUUCCCCGACAACCAGUUGUAUAGAAAGCUCAGCA
rnacentral:misc_RNA from 1 species